CGGGGGCCCCGACGCCGGGGGGGCGCAGGCGGAGGAGCGGGAGGCGGAGGAAGUGGACCCUCAGUUCUACGUCACAGUGACCAUCUCUUCGCUGCUUAUCUUCACGGCAGUCGUCAUAACCGCCAAACUAUGCCUCCUGUUUGUUAUUUAAAACCUUUUUCUAAGACUCGUGUGGCUCUCUGCCUCCGACUCUACCCAGCUCUUUUAAUGUAUUGUCCACAUUCUUUAUCCCUCCUCAUAUCUCGAGUCUCUCUCAUCUUUCUUGCUCUCUCUCGCCACUCCUCCUCUCUCCCUCUCCCCUCCUCCGUCCGCCUCGCCUCUCAAUCUUGCUCUCUCCCCAUCCCUCCCUUUGCCUUCAUCUCUUUCUUCAUCUCCCUCAUCUCUCUCUCUCUCUUCCCAGC
ensembl:lncRNA